UGAGUACGAGACGCUAAGGCGUCGAAGUAGUGGAUGUCAUACUUCCAAGAAAAGCUUGCACUGUCAUAUAUAAAAAACGCCUGUACCAUAACCGACACAGGUGGGUAGGUAGAGUAUACUAAGGGGCGCGAGAUAACUCUCUCUAAGGAACUCGGCAAAAUAACUCCGUAACUUCGGGAGAAGGAGUGCCUUAUUCGUAAGGCUGCAAUAACAAGAUCCAAGCAACUGUUUAUCAAAAACACAGGUCUCCGCUAAGUCGUAAGACGAUGUAUGGGGGCUGACGCCUGCCCAGUGCCAGAAGGUUAAAGAAGUCGGUUAGCAUUAGCGAAGCUGGUAACUGAAGCCCUGGUGAACGGCGGCCGUAACAAUAACGGUCCUAAGGUAGCGAAAUUCCUUGUCGGGUAAGUUCCGACCCGCACGAAAGGCGUAAUGAUUUGGAUACUGUCUCGGAGAGGGGCUCGGUGAAAUAGACUUGUCUGUGAAGAUGCGGACUACCUGCACCAGGACAGAAAGACCCUAUGAAGCUUUACUGUAACUUGAAAUUGAAAUUGGACUUUAUUCGCGCAGUAUAGGUGGGAGGUGUUGAUUAUAAUCUUGCGGGAUUAUUGGAGCCAUCAGUGAGAUACCACUCUUGUAAUGUUAGAUUUCUAACUUUGAAUCAUUAUCUGGUCAAAGAACAGUUUCAGGCGGGCAGUUUGACUGGGGCGGUCGCCUCCUAAAUGGUAACGGAGGCGUACAAAGGUUUCCUCUGAACGGGUAGAAAUCGUAUCUAGAGUGUAAAGGCAUAAGGAAGCUUGACUGUGAGACCUACAAGUCGAGCAGGGACGAAAGUCGGUCUUAGUGAUCUGACGGUACUGAGUGGAAAGGCCGUCACUCAACGGAUAAAAGUUACUCUAAGGAUAACAGGCUGAUCUCCCCCAAGAGUUCACAUCGACGGGGAGGUUUGGCACCUCGAUGUCGGCUCAUCGCAUCCUGGGGCGGUAGUACGUCCCAAGGGUUGGGCUGUUCGCCCAUGAAAGCGGUACGCGAGCUGGGUUCAGAACGUCGUGAGACAGUUCGGUCCAUAUCCGGUGUAGGCGUUAGAAUAUUGAGAGGAGCCUUCUUUAGUACGAGAGGACCGAGAAGGACAUACCUCUGGUGUACCAGUUAUCGUGCCAACGGUAAACGCUGGGUAGCUAUGUAUGGAGUGGAUAACCGCUGAAAGCAUCUAAGUGGGAAGCCCACCUCAAGAUAAGUAUUCUCAUC
rnacentral:rRNA from 1 species